rnacentral:snRNA from 1 species
AGAUGUGAGGGCAAUCUGGCUGUGACACGUGACCCCGUAGACCGCCAGCGUUGAUGUGGCAGAUCUGGCUGGCUUGGCAGAUAUCCCCUUCCGCCCUCACUGCUUUAUGUGUGACCCUCCCAAAGCUGCGUGCCUCGUUGAAGAGGAUGGCCUUCCCUCAACAGAGACGGACUGGUCUUCAUUUGAGGGUAUAGGGUAGUUGUGCUACCCUGCUUGAACCUCCAAACCAGUGCUUAGGGUCCAAAGCAUUUGAGUCAUUCCAAGCCAUAGGUGAUAUUCAUCUUCCACUUUCAGCUUUAAAU